UUUGUGACGGGUUCGCAGUAUUCUGUUCGAAACGAGGCCUAACGUCAAGGCCUCCAGAGCAGUGAAAGAAAGGCUCAGUUACAACCCAUGGAAAGGCACCAAAGGGCUUUGGAGUUAUAUUAUAUUUAUAACAGGGGGUCUUGUUAAAAUAAAGCCUUAACUUAUAAA